rnacentral:rRNA from 1 species
GACGAACGCUGGCGGCGUGCUUAACACAUGCAAGUCGAACGGAAAGGCCUGCUUUCCCUUGUGGAUUGCGGGUACUCGAGUGGCGAACGGGUGAGUAACACGUGAGUGAUCUGCCCCCAACUUGGGUAUAAGCCUGGGAAACUGGGUCUAAUUCCCGAUAGGACUGCAGGGUGGUGCCUGUGGUGGAAAACGAUUUUCUAGUGGUUGGGGAUGAGCUCGCGGCCUAUCGGCUUGUUGGUGGGGUAAUGGCCUACCAAGGCGGCGACGGGUAGCCGGCCUGAGAGGGUGGACGGCCACAUUGGGACUGAGAUACGGCCCAGACUCCUACGGGAGGCAGCAGUGGGGAAUAUUGCACAAUGGGUGGAAGCCUGAUGCAGCGACGCCGCGUGGGGGAUGACGGCCUUCGGGUUGUAAACUCCUUUCGACCGCGAGGAAGCCACCUGGUUGGAAGGGUGGUGACGGUAGUGGUAGAAGAAGCACCGGCUAACUACGUG